UAUCACAGUUUUGUCCAAUACCUCUGGAACGUGUCCACGUCCGUUUUCUGGAUGAUGGAUUCGCAUCCCAAACCCACCGGAAACUAGGAGCUGUAUUGUAAUUUUCAGUAUCAUUCCCUCAACAGACACUCGCUGAAUAUGUUCUACCUGUAGGCACUGGACUGUCUUCUGAGGACAAAGCCCUGAGUAAAAGUGAACGUGGCGUCUGCCCUCAUGCAGUUGAAAUCAAGCCAGCGAAACACACAUCCAUCGCAUCAGCACGCAGCAAAACAGAAAAUUCUGACUGAUGCAGGUGCUGUGAAGAAAUACAAGGAGCUGUGAGCGUUUAAAGUAGGGGAUAGGAUCAAGCCAAAGAAAGAUGUCCCAAGAAAUAGUAAAAGCAAUACGUAUUGAAAACUCACUACAAACUAUGGUUCAGAGCACUUAGACGUAUUUUUUUCUCUUCAGCCACAUGAGACAGGGAUCAUCUAUUAUUAUUCCCACUCUAGAGAUGAGAAGGCUGAAGCAGAGACUCUCAAGUCGAGAGCUGAACUUGGGAUGCGCUCAGCCAAGAUAGGCAAGGUUAUGCUCUGCUACCAAGAAUCCCCCAAAUAUGAAAGUGUACUGCUUGCCUCGAUAUUUCAGGAGGGGAGAAUAAUCCAGACGUAGGUGUCAUCGUAUGCGAAGACCUUGCUCUUGCAUGGAGCCUGGACAGGAUUGCAAAGCAGGGUGGACGACAGGUCUAGAGCAGACCAGGAGCAGACCUGGAGACCGGCAGGGCUUCCCUCCCCACAAUCACAGGGGAGUCUGUGCGUGGUCCCAAGAGCACCACUAGAAUCAUGCAGAACCUACCAGUUAUGCCGCAGGGAGCAAUUCAUCUGAGGCCGACCCACUGUUCGGGAAGAGACCGCCUGUGUGCUUGAGACCUCCAAGCCAACUUACUUCGCACUGAAAUUUCCUUCUUCUUUUCCUUCUCAUUAUAAAGGCUGACGCAUAAUUUAACCAACGUUUCCCUCCGGCGGGAGCGAUCGUUCUAUCUUGCUGGGUCAUCCCCAAACUGCGAAGGCACGACUGACGGCCAUAAUGCACUUUAACGAACUUCCAGGGGCCCCCCCCGCCCCCGAGAACUUUCUAUCAAAGAAGUGGUUGAGUUAUUCUGAAGUUGAAAACUACUGAGAGAAGAACACAGGCAAGACACAGCCGGGCGGACCCAGUGUGCCUGGAGGAUGAGGAGUAAGUUACUGUGGUUUACGAUCGUGCAGGAUAAGAAGUGGCAGGAGAUGGGCUACGAAAGGAAUAUUGUGUUCCAAUUAUGAUAGCUCUUAGGCAGCAAGGAUUUGGAUUUCAUCCAGCAAGCAGCAGGAAGGAAUCAAUGGACAUUUUUGUCAAGAGAUAGUAUCCACUUUGUUGUUUAGAAGAAAAAAGACACACACACACACACACACACACACACACACACACACAAGGUCCGGUGAUGUGACAGAAAAAAAUUAACCGACGAAAAGUGGAAAACCGUUGCGCUCAUCAGAACAAGAGGUGAUGUGACCUAGUGUAAGGCAGUGGGAGCAUGUGAAUGGCAAGGAGGAGACUUAGUCUGGUACCAUUUCUGAGACCAAGGGAUGGCGGUACUUAGCAUUCUAUUGAUGUGAUAGACGGUAGAGAAGGGUUUAAAGUGGAUGCAUAAUAGCUUCUGUCACCCAAAGAGGUCAGAGAAAAGAACAGAUGUUGCCAAACAGUCUCUACAUUUUAUUUUAGCUAUAAUGCAUCUGAAAUUCUUAAGGGAUCCUCCAAGAAGAGAUGCCUGUAGACAGUUGAAAACGCAGCCUGGUUUUACCUAGCGGAGUCAGGGCUGAAGAAAGACGUUCGGUGACCAUCAGAAGUUACUGGAAUUGCCUGCAAAGAGAAAGAGAGUGUACGAGGAACGGAACGGGGAACAGAGCCAUCAAGACCACCAGCAUUUAAGGAGCUGGGGGUCGGGCUGGGGGAAGGGGCACCAAUGAGUGAAUCAGAGAAGAAACUAAUUGAAGAGAAAAUCGGGGCAAGAUUCUUGCUAUAACAUCCCAAGAGUGAACCUGCCAGCUGAGGGAUGGGAGUUCAGGCUGCCAAAAAAACAAACAAACAAACAAACAAACAAACACCCCAUGCAGAUUCCACUGCUAAAUGGCAAUGAGCACAUAACCCCUUCUAACUUUCUAACGUGUUUUGUUUUUCUUUUUUUUCUCUCCAAAAGCUACUACAACCCCAGACAUGCUUUGGGAGUCGGUAUUUAAAAGUUCCCGUUUUAAUUUGGGUGGUUGUUGCUUUUUAAACAAGCAAAAUAAAAUGGGGAUUUUUUUUCCAGUCCUUGAGAUGUGGUUAAGUCCUUGAGAAGGUGCUCAGCAGUGAAUUGAAGCAAAAGUGUCCCCAGCUUAAAUAAUCAUAUUACUGGUUUUGUGUUUCAUGUUAACAAACAGCAACU